GUAAGGAAUAUUGGACAAUGGACGCAAGUCUGAUCCAGCCAUGCCGCGUGAAGGAUUAAGGUCCUCUGGAUUGUAAACUUCUUUUAUAAGGGACGAAAAAAGGCUUUUCUAAGUCGUCUGACGGUACCUUAUGAAUAAGCACCGGCUAACUCCGUGCCAGCAGCCGCGGUAAUACGGAGGGUGCAAGCGUUAUCCGGAUUCACUGGGUUUAAAGGGUGCGUAGGCGGGCAUGUAAGUCAGUGGUGAAAUCCUAGAGCUUAACUCUAGAACUGCCAUUGAUACUAUCUGUCUUGAAUAUUGUGGAGGUAAGCGGAAUAUGUCAUGUAGCGGUGAAAUGCUUAGAUAUGACAUAGAACACCUAUUGCGAAGGCAGCUUACUACGCAUAUAUUGACGCUGAGGCACGAAAGCGUGGGGAUCAAACAGGAUUAGAUACCCUGGUAGUCC
rnacentral:rRNA from 1 species